UACAGAGGUCCCAAGCGUUGUUCGGAUUCACUGGGCGUAAAGGGUGCGUAGGUGGCCAGGUAAGUUCGGUGUGAAAGCUCGGAGCUUAACUCCGAAAUGGCAUUGAAUACUAUCUGGCUAGAGGGUCGGAGGGGAGACUGGAAUUCUCGGUGUAGCAGUGAAAUGCGUAGAUAUCGAGAGGAACACCAGUGGCGAAGGCGAGUCUCUGGACGACUCCUGACACUGAGGCACGAAAGCCAGGGGAGCAAACGGG
rnacentral:rRNA from 1 species